AUUGAACGCUGGCGGCAUGCCUUACACAUGCAAGUCGAACGGCAGCACGGGUGCUUGCACCUGGUGGCGAGUGGCGAACGGGUGAGUAAUACAUCGGAACAUGUCCUGUAGUGGGGGAUAGCCCGGCGAAAGCCGGAUUAAUACCGCAUACGAUCUACGGAUGAAAGCGGGGGACCUUCGGGCCUCGCGCUAUAGGGUUGGCCGAUGGCUGAUUAGCUAGUUGGUGGGGUAAAGGCCUACCAAGGCGACGAUCAGUAGCUGGUCUGAGAGGACGACCAGCCACACUGGGACUGAGACACGGCCCAGACUCCUACGGGAGGCAGCAGUGGGGAAUUUUGGACAAGGGGCGAAAGCCUGAUCCAGCAAUGCCGCGUGUGUGAAGAAGGCCUUCGGGUUGUAAAGCACUUUUGUCCGGAAAGAAAUCCUUGGCCCUAAUACGGUCGGGGGAUGACGGUACCGGAAGAAUAAGCACCGGCUAACUACGUG
rnacentral:rRNA from 1 species